ACACCAAUAAACAUGGGUUUGUAGAGCUAGACUGAUAAUUUGGCCAGGCUAAUAUAUUUACCAAAUGAAGCUUAUUGUAAAUAUGCGGGUUUCUUUGUAUAGAUCCGCUGAUUAGAAUUAAAAAUUGCAGUCCAGAUACCAAACUAGGUUUGAGGUCAAUUAGGAACCUCGGCAGCAUUACACGCAACCAAUGAUUAAAUUGUGGCUCAACAUAAUUUUACAUUAUGGGCAGGAUUAUUGUUUAAUUCAUCUAAUGCAAUUAUCACAUUAUCAGUUUUCCAAAUACAUCAAUCAAUCUUAACAAUUUCUGGAUGUCUGAUCUAAACCCAUCAUCUAGUCUAGACCAAAUUUCCCCUAAAGUUCACUCCCAGAAUUAUGCCAGCAAGUGGUGAUGAAAUCAACUAUUAGGGGACAGCCUUCAAUCAAGCCUUUGAGAUGUGAUUUGGAAUCAAGUAUUCCAGACAAUCCCAGUUUGCUGUUAACAUAUACCCAAAGCCAAGACUUGAGUCAUGGAGGAGGGUGUCAACGAAGAUCUCUUAAUCCUCUGAAGCUUUAACAUUCAGACACGACAGAUCCUGAAAAGGCAAUGUUGAAGUUGUACAACAGGAAAGCUACAGCUCAGUGUUUUAGCUUCUUGUAUUCCAGUACAUUGUAAAUUGUUCAGCCAAAUCCUAUGGGCAGCCACUUCCUGCUUCAUGAUGGUCAGGCUCUGUGUAUUACCUGUAGUGUUUGUAGAGUGUUGUUGUAUGUCUUCUAAUCCGAAGCGCAGUAUACAGCCCAUAUUGUUGGAUAGAAUAUCUGCUCACCUUUACGGCAUGCUGCUGCACAUCGUCACAUUGUCUCAUCCAUUUCUGAAGAAAGCUGUAAACUGCUCGGACAAUGGAGAUCUCUUUGAAAAAUCAAGAACUAUAGGACAUUUUAUUUACAUGCAAUUAUAUGGAGUAUCUGUCCUCAUUAAGCUAACCUCAUUAACUCUACCAGUGUUGAAGAAAUGGAUGGAGUGACCGGAUUGGAGCUUGAUCCAUUAUAUGCUGCUGCUCUUUGACAAAGCUUUGUUUGUGUUUGGGUGUGCCUGGAUUUGAUGUUGCCAUGACAGAUUGUUGUUGCCAGAGAUUAAAUAUUCAUUGUGUCCUGUUGCUGCACAGUACCUCACAUUAACCCACGCCAUCGUCACAAGCUGGCCCUUAUAUUGCUGUCAUAUUGAUCAUAAAUACUUAAGCCUAUGUCCAAAUAUGUUCUGCAAUGUUCAAAGUGUUGAUUGUGUUCAAAGUGACAAUCAUAAUUAAAUAUACAUUUCUGAAGA